rnacentral:sRNA from 1 species
AGCCUAACCCUUUUUACAAAGGUAUGGCACAAAAAACCUACCACAGGGAUAUAGAGCUCCUCGUCAGAGCACCUGUGGUAGGUUAAUACCCGAAAGGGGUAUAUGUAGCCAGAAAUGGCUAU